CCGUAGCCCAGCUGGAUAGAGCAGUGGACUUCUAAUCCGAAGGUCAAGGGUUCGAAUCCCUUCGGGC
rnacentral:tRNA from 1 species